CGCCUCCACAGGGACAGCCGAGUUGCGGGACGGAAGCCCCGCCCCCAGAAGUCACGUGGACCUGGACGCUCCAGGCACUGACUGCACCUGACUCCCAGGAGGGCGCGCGGCCCAGCAGUGUUGCUCACAGCAGCCGAAAGCGAGAGCAACGCAAGUGUGCGUCCGAGGUGGACGGGAGACGAGGCGGGGCCUAUCCGUGCCCUGGGACGUCCUGUCAUCGAAGGAGUGAUGUGAGGAUACGUGCAGCAGCAUGAAGAAGCCGUUUGGUCGUCGUGAAUAAAUGAAACAUCGCACUAAGGGAACCCAGAUAAAAGGUCACAUAUUGUACGAU